rnacentral:tRNA from 1 species
UCCCUGAUAGCUCAGAUGGUAAAGCGUCUGCUUGCAAUGCAGGAGACCUGGGUUCGAUCCCUGGUUGGGAAG